rnacentral:lncRNA from 1 species
CUUUCACCAUGCACGUGGAAUGUCGUUUAGACACCUACUGUUUUGGAGGUGUCCUUUUCCUAGUAGAAAUAUGCGACUUGGAGUUUUAGCUUUGUGCCAUAGCUACAGCAGCUGACCGUGACCCACACUGGAACAAAGAGAAACAUGUGGUUUGUGAAGAGAAAGAAUGAAAGUGUGGGGGAUGAAGAACCUUUGAUUUCUGAGUGGCCGCAUGAUCACCUAUAUAAUCGAGUAGCAGCUAUGCUGUGUUCAGUUACUAAAGGUGAGGAACUUGGGACUGAGGCUAAUUGACUUGCUCAAGGUCACUUCAUGAACCAGUAGCCUACCUGAGAUACAGCCCAAGUCUCUUGACUCUCAGCCCAGGCUCUGUGCACCAGAUGUGCUCUGCCAUCAUUCUGCCAUCAGUAAGCACCCAGAAUUCUUAAACAGAAACCUGAUCAUUCAUCGCUCUACUUCAGUGUCCUUUUGGCACCAUCCUUGCAGCUGACGAUGACCUGCAGGAGAUACUGACUACCACUCUUUAUGCAGCUAAAAUGGCACCUGACCUAGGAUAUGGAAAAGGUAAAGGAAGAUAUCCCAUUGGCGCUUAAGGAACUAUGGUACUCAGCUACUCUUCCAUGCCAACAAAGUCAACCAGUACAUUGCAAAAAUGCGCAUGAGCUACAAGAGAGCCUGACCUCCAUUAACUUUCAGAGAGUAAACAAUGGCUGCUGUUCUCCUUCCUUUCAGGUCUCAAAUUUGAAAUUUCAGAUUUCUCUGGUGGCCAAACCUAACCACCAAAAACUUACACAGAAAGAAAUUCUAGGAAACAUAGUUCAGUUUAGCCAAGUUGACUCUUCACAAAAUCAUACAUGGAAUUUAUUUUGUGUAUUCUGUGGGGUAGUAAUCAAAAUCUAUUUUGCUCUAUAUGGAUAUUUCCAGCCCCAUUUAUUGAAUACCCCAUGCUAUUCUCCACUGAUUUGCAAUGCAACUUUUAUAACACAUUAUAUUUCAUUAUAUAGUUUGUUCUGAAAUAUUUUAUUCUGUUGCUAGUUGUUGAUUUCUCUGCUACUGCUUUACAGUUUUACUUAGUAUGACUAUUAUAAGUCUUGUUAUCAAUGGUAAAAUAAUUUCCACAGUCUUAUUUUAUUUUCAUUAGGAAUAUUUUGCUUCAUCUGACUCUUUGCUCUAUAUGAAAUUUUAGAAUCACCCUGGCAUUGUCACUGCAGUUGCUUUAAGUUUAUGUAUAAAUUUGUUAUCUUCAUGAUAUUGAGCCAUUUUAUAUAUAAACAUGAUGUAGCUCUAAAAAUAUUUAAUCUUUCUUUAAUGCUUUCUUUAUUAAAGUUUUAUAAUUUUGUAAGAUCAUGCAUGUAUUUAUUCCUAAAUACUUUUUAAAAUGCUAUCAUAUUUGAAAUAAUAACUUUAAAAUUAAAUUAAAAAUUUUUGAUCUAUAG